rnacentral:rRNA from 1 species
GCCAAUCAAACUCCGUGAUAGCUGGUUCUCCCCGAAAUGCAUUUAGGUGCAGCGUUGCGUGUUUCUUGCCGGAGGUAGAGCACUGGAUAGCCGAUGGGCCCUACAAGGUUACUGACGUUAGCCAAACUCCGAAUGCCGGUAAGUGAGAGCGCAGCAGUGAGACUGCGGGGGAUAAGCUCCGUAGUCGAGAGGGAAACAGCCCAGACCAUCAGCUAAGGUCCCUAAGCGAUAACUAAGUGGAAAAGGAUGUGGAGUCGCACAGACAACCAGGAGGUUGGCUUAGAAGCAGCCACCCUUGAAAGAGUGCGUAAUAGCUCACUGGUCAAGUGAUUCCGCGCCGACAAUUUAGCGGGGCUCAAGUUAUCCACCGAAGCUAUGGCAUUCGCGCAUGUAUCUCGGCCCAGGUUCUGCCUGGGUCCAGGAGCGUGGAUGGGUAGGGGAGCGUCGUAUGGCGAGUGAAGCGGCGGAGUGAUCCAGCCGUGGACGCCAUACGAGUGAGAAUGCAGGCAUGAGUAGCGAAUGAGGAGUGAGAAACUCCUCCGCCGAAUGAUCAAGGGUUCCAGGGUCAAGCUAAUCUGCCCUGGGUAAGUCGGGACCUAAGGCGAGGCCGACAGGCGUAGUCGAUGGACAACGGGUUGAUAUUCCCGUACCGGCAAAAUAGCGCCCAUGACGAACCUGAUGAUGCUAAGUGCCCGAAGCUCCGGGACUCCUUCGGGAGGCCGGAGUGGAGCGCACGACCCGAAUCAGUAGUAGUCAAGCGAUGGGGUGACACAGGAAGGUAGCCCAACCGUGGCGAUGGUUGUCCACGGGUAAGUAUGUAGGGCGAGACGUAGGCAAAUCCGCGUCUCAUGUGCCUGAGACACGAUACGGAGUCCUUAUGGACGAAGUGGGUGAUCCUAUGCUGUCGAGAAAAACCUCUAGCGAGCUAUGCGCCGCCCGUACCCCAAACCGACUCAGGUGAUCAGGUAGAGAAUACCAAGGCGAUCGAGUGAACCAUGGUUAAGGAACUCGGCAAAAUGCCCCCGUAACUUCGGGAGAAGGGGGGCCGGAUCCGUGAGAGGACUUGCUCCUCGAAGCGGUGAUGGCCGCAGAGACCAGGCCCAAGCGACUGUUUACUAAAAACACAGGUCCGUGCGAAGUCGUAAGACGAUGUAUACGGACUGACGCCUGCCCGGUGCUGGAACGUUAAGAGGACCUGUUAGCUCUUCGGGGCGAAGCGGAGAAUUUAAGCGCCAGUAAACGGCGGUGGUAACUAUAACCAUCCUAAGGUAGCGAAAUUCCUUGUCGGGUAAGUUCCGACCUGCACGAAUGGAGUAACGACUUGGGCGCUGUCUCAACCGUGGACUCGGCGAAAUUGCACUACGAGUAAAGAUGCUCGUUACGCGCGGCAGGACGGAAAGACCCCGGGACCUUUACUACAGCUUGGUAUUGGUGCUCGGUUCGGCUUGUGUAGGAUAGGUGGGAGACUGUGAAGUGGCCACGCCAGUGGUUGUGGAGUCGUUGUUGAAAUACCACUCUGGUCGAAUUGGGUGUCUGAACCUCGGGCCAUGAUCUGGUUCAGGGACAGUGCCUGGUGGGUAGUUUAACUGGGGCGGUUGCCUCCUAAAGGGUAACGGAGGCGCCCAAAGGUUCCCUCAGCCUGGUUGGCAAUCAGGUGUCGAGUGUAAGUGCACAAGGGAGCUUGACUGUGAGACGGACGUGUCGAGCAGGGACGAAAGUCGGGACUAGUGAUCCGGCACCUCCUGGUGGAAGGGGUGUCGCUCAACGGAUAAAAGGUACCCCGGGGAUAACAGGCUGAUCUUGCCCAAGAGUCCAUAUCGACGGCAUGGUUUGGCACCUCGAUGUCGGCUCGUCGCAUCCUGGGGCUGGAGUAGGUCCCAAGGGUUGGGCUGUUCGCCCAUUAAAGCGGUACGCGAGCUGGGUUUAGAACGUCGUGAGACAGUUCGGUCCCUAUCCGCCGUGCGCGUAGGAGACUUGAGGAAGGCUGUCCCUAGUACGAGAGGACCGGGACGGACGGACCUCUGGUGUGCCAGUUGUCCCGCCAGGGGCAUGGCUGGUUUGCUAUGUUCGGAAGGGAUAACCGCUGAAGGCAUCUAAGCGGGCAAGCCCUCGGCCUAUUAGUACCGGUCGACUCCACCCCUCACAGAGCUUCCAUCCCCGGCCUAUCAACCCCAUCGUCUCUAGGGGGCCUUACCCACGCAAAGGUGGUGGGAGACCUCAUCUUGGAACGAGCUUCCCGCUUAGAUGCC